UACGUAGGGUGCAAGCGUUGUCCGGAAUUAUUGGGCGUAAAGAGCUCGUAGGCGGCUUGUCACGUCGACUGUGAAAACCCGGGGCUCAACUCCGGGCCUGCAGUCGAUACGGGCUGGCUUGAGUGCGGUAGGGGAGACUGGAAUUCCUGGUGUAGCAGUGAAAUGCGCAGAUAUCAGGAGGAACACCGGUGGCGAAGGCGGGUCUCUGGGCCGAUACUGACGCUGAGGAGCGAAAGCGUGGGGAGCGAACAGG
rnacentral:rRNA from 1 species